ensembl:lncRNA
UAACCUGUGAUUUUACGGCUGCGGCCCCGUCACGAGAGGCGGCUUCCGGCAGAGCGCCCAAACCCUCUUCCCUGCAAGACCCUCUCAAGUCAUGCGCCUGCCCGGUACGGUCUCAGGAGAAAACUCCGUGCCGCCUAGGCCACACGGCGGAGAGGACCUCCGGCCGCUUCCGCCAACGGGCCCCUUGCAGGGGCUGCCGGCGGCCCUCACCCCUCCACCUGGAGGUGCAGCUGGUGAGUCAGCUGACCAGGAAACACCUUUGAGGGCGAGGUGUUUGAAGUGCAGUUAAUUCAUGUCACCACAGGGUCCUGAGUUAUUCAGGUGACCUUGGGUGAGGCGGUCAACCCCGCUGGCCUCAGUCUUCAUCCGGAACCGGCAGGCUGCGGGGCGGCCUCUGUGCCCUGACGCCCGUCCGGUCCACCCAGGCUCCCGACGCCCACGGCACAGCCCGGAACCACAGUAAACCAUUCCGAACGUGCCGACGUUGCCAAAAGGCUAAUCUGUAUCCUCAGGUAGGGAAUAAUUAUAAUCUUCAGUGAACAAGAAAACGACCUAAAAUUAACAAAUUCGGGCAAAUUCCCUUGAUGACAAAACACAGAAUAUAAUUCAGACGCGGUUUUCUAUGGCUGCAAAAUGGUGCGUUAGCGCAGGACUCCGAGGGGCGGCGGAGAUCUCUCAUGGCGGACGGUGUGCGUGCUGGAGGGUCGCCCCGUGCCACAGCCGGGCCCUCGCCAGCCUGCUGACGGCGCCCAGCUGGAAGGUUCUUCAUACUGAACGAUAUGGGACUUCCUUGUGAGGAAGGACCAACGUCCCCAGAUCUUGCUCCUCACGCUCACCCAGAACUUCUGUCUUCCUGGAGCCUAUGAGCUGUUCCUGAGCCCGCCGCCCUGGGCACCUGCUGAUGCCAUUCCACGUGCCCAGUGUCCUCCGAGCUCCCGGAUGCGCCACUCGAGGCCGUGAACGCGCCGUUCUCAUUAUUUGCCGUCACUGCGUAUCUUGAUCGCUUACCCUUUGGGGCGAGACUCAGCUGCCACCUCUGACCUCCUGGCGGCCCCCACGGGUUCCUGGACCGCGAGGCAGCAGAGAAGCCCAGGGCCGCCCAGGACUGCAGCGGGAAACCCACAAGACCGACCAGGCAAGCCCUGGCCAGUGGCUCUCCCCUCCCCUCUGACCCCCCAUUCGGUGCCCUUUGGAGCUGGGACACAGAUCCCCCCUCUCCUGGGGCGCCCUGCACCCUCCGAGGACGGUUGCCAGCAGCGCCUGUCUGUGCACAGCCGCUCUGGGGGGAGGGAGCAUCCCCGAGCUCAGCUGGCCCCUUCCCUCUGUUACAAGCUGAGCGGUGCCUUCCCAGCCCACCCGUGACGUCCUGACUUCCAGGACUGCAAAACAGGACUGUGUGAAGACAGGAUCUUUCCACAGGUGACAGUGAGGUCACUGGGGUGGCCCUGAUCCAACGUGACUGAGAGGAGGGGUCAGGGUACAGGCACGCACAGGGGUCUCCACGUGAGGACACGGAGACGGAUGGUGUCCCCUCGCCCAGGAGGGGGGACCCAGCCCUGCCCACGCCUGCGUCCCAGCCCCCAGCCUCCAGGACGGGUGACCGUGUUUGUUAAGUCGUGCCCCGUGUGUGGUCACUGCUUACAGCGGCCUCAGCUGACCGUUACGCCACCCCACUCACGGUCAUGUCACCUGCUUAGUGACCGCUUGGAGUGACAGGCACAUAAGGGCUGCAGCAGCUGAAACCCGGGUCCGGGAAGCAGGUCGUCUGCCCUCGGGCCCCCGCUACCGCCGGGGGGGGGGGUCCGGGCACCUGCCUCCUGCAGAGGCCCAGCAGGACCAAGGGCAGUGCUUUCCUGCCCCCUGAUUGUCUGCUGAAGGUUCACAUGACCCUGACAUCCAUUCUUAAGUGGCUUCUCUCUUCCCCAUGGAAACUUUUAAUGGGAAAAAAAUUAAGUUUCCAACUAUAGAAAUCAGAUAAAAAGGGAAAUAAAAGGCGAGAGCUCAUUGCUGAUCCGUAAAAAGUUCAAAAAUAGAUAAAUAUUAUACAUUGCAUCAAAGAUUUACAAUUAAUUACCACUUUCAUACCAUUGAAGUUGUCAACAGAUUUGAUUACUAUUCUCAAUUAUAGACUUUGCAAAACCCCCCUCCCCAAAGUACAAGUGACAUUUCUAAUUGCUGAUCUAAGAAUUCGCUUCCCAAAAUAGAUCGAGGAGACAAAAAUAAGUGUGGUGCAUGAUGAAACUUCAUGACACGGCGCCGAGCAAACUGUCAC